CAACCCUCAAGCCUCACGGUUUGGUGUUGGGGAUCGGCCCUGCCUUGUGCGGCGGCCGGCCCCGAAAUAUAGUGGCGGUCACGCUGUAGCUUCCUCUGCGUAGUAGUAAUAUCUCGUAUUGGAAAGCGGCGCGGCCAAGCCGUUAAACCCCAACUUUUGAA
rnacentral:misc_RNA from 1 species